GUACAAGAUCCAUGAUUAUCUUAUAAAUCCAAUUUUUAACUUCAAUACAAAAAUCUAGCAAUCUAGUUCUAAGAUUUAAUAGAAACUCCAAGACAUAAGCUCUUACAUUUUCACCACAAGAUCAAUUCCACCAAUGAGAAAAAUACUUCUAUUAGUAAUAUGAUCUUGUAAAUCUAUUAGAGGAUCGUAAUUAGAGAGAACAGUCAACUUAAACUUACAGGGUCUAUUGU
rnacentral:lncRNA from 1 species